rfam:Oryza glaberrima chromosome 1 Oglab01_0303_3, whole genome shotgun sequence.
UCUAAGUGCAAUUUUGCACUGUUUAUGUCAACGUUGUCUUAUUUAAAACUCUUUUAUAUUAGUAUUAUUAUUAUUAGAUGAUAAAAUAUGGAUAGUACUUUAUGUAUGACUUUUUUAAAAAAUUCAUAAUUUUUUAAUUAAGAUGGACGGUUAAACGUUGUACACGAAUAUCCACGGGUGUACUUAUU